rnacentral:tRNA from 1 species
AAAUAAGAAGCAAAAUUUUGCAUUUAGUUUCGACCUAAAAAUUUGAUAUUCGUAUCCUUAUUUA